rnacentral:rRNA from 1 species
UACAGAGACUGCAAGCGUUAUUCGGAUUCACUGGGCGUAAAGGGUGCGCAGGCGGCCAAGUGUGUGAGGCGUGAAAGCCCGGGGCUUAACCCCGGAAUUGCACCUCAAACUACAUGGCUAGAGCAUUGGAGAGGGUAGCGGAAUUCACGGUGUAGCAGUGAAAAUGCGCCAGAUAUCAGGAGGGAACACCGGUGGGCGAAGGCGGGUCUCUGGG